rnacentral:rRNA from 1 species
CCUACGGGAGGCUGCAGUGGGGAAUUUUGGACAAUGGGCGCAAGCCUGAUCCAGCCAUUCCGCGUGCAGGAUGAAGGCCCUCGGGUUGUAAACUGCUUUUGUACGGAACGAAACGGCGCUCUCUAAUACAGGGCGCUAAUGACGGUACCGUAAGAAUAAGCACCGGCUAACUACGUGCCAGCAGCCGCGGUAAUACGUAGGGUGCAAGCGUUAAUCGGAAUUACUGGGCGUAAAGCGUGCGCAGGCGGUCUUGUAAGACAGAUGUGAAAUCCCCGGGCUCAACCUGGGAACUGCAUUUGUGACUGCAAGGCUAGAGUACGGUAGAGGGGGAUGGAAUUCCGCGUGUAGCAGUGAAAUGCGUAGAUAUGCGGAGGAACACCGAUGGCGAAGGCAAUCCCCUGGACCUGUACUGACGCUCAUGCACGAAAGCGUGGGGAGCAAACAGGAUUAGAUACCCCAGUAGUC